rnacentral:rRNA from 1 species
UGGGGAAUAUUGCACAAUGGAGGGAACUCUGAUGCAGCGACGCCGCGUGAACGAAGAAGGCUUUCGAGUCGUAAAGUUCUUUUAUAUGGGAAGAUAAUGACGGUACCAUAAGAAAAAGCCCCGGCUAACUACGUGCCAGCAGCCGCGGUAAUACGUAGGGGGCUAGCGUUGUCCGGAAUCACUGGGCGUAAAGGGUUCGCAGGCGGAAAUGCAAGUCAGGUGUAAAAGGCAGUAGCUUAACUACUGUAAGCAUGUGAAACUGCAUAUCUUGAGAAGAGUAGAGGUAAGUGGAAUUUUUAGUGUAGCGGUGAAAUGCGUAGAUAUUAAAAAGAAUACCGGUGGCGAAGUCGACUUACUGGGCUCAUUCUGACGCUGAGGAACGAAAGCGUGGGUAGCAAACAGG